CACGUAGGGUGCGAGCGUUGUCCGGAAUUAUUGGGCGUAAAGAGCUCGUAGGCGGUGUGUCGCGUCGGCCGUGAAAACCCGCAGCUCAACUGUGGGCUUGCAGCUGAUACGGGCGGGCUGGGAUUCGGUAGGGGAGACUGGAAUUCCUGGUGUAGCGGUGAAAUGCGCAGAUAUCAGGAGGAACACCGGUGGCGAAGGCGGGUCUCUGGGCCGAUAUCGACGCUGAGGAGCGAAAGCGUGGGGAGCGAACAGG
rnacentral:rRNA from 1 species